UAAAUGUAUCAAUGAAAACUUAAUAUAUUUAGAUUUGUUUUCUACAUGAUGAGCUUCAAGCUUUCGCCCCUAUCUGAAAAUAAAGAGAAACUUCCAAUGUUGAAUGCGUGAUUGGUCUUACUGAAAAUCAUUUUAAAAUAAUAUAUCACAACCCAUUUAUAAAACUAAGCUAAUAAACUGUGAACUUACAUUGCAGGCUUACUACGGAGCUAAUCUUCGAAACGCUUUGAUUUGUAAAGAAUUUUGAUGGAACCCUCGCAUUUGCGGUUGUUACAAGGUACAGUACGUGACGCUUUGUGUUACUUAAUUUUCUUGUAUUAAUAUUCAUAAAAUAAAAGUAAAC